rnacentral:rRNA from 1 species
CUUGACAUCCAGCGAACUUGGCAGAGAUGCCUUGGUGCCUUCGGGAACGCUGAGACAGGUGCUGCAUGGCUGUCGUCAGCUCGUGUUGUGAAAUGUUGGGUUAAGUCCGCAACGAGCGCAACCCUUAUCCUUUGUUGCCAGCGAUUCGGUCGGGAACUCAAAGGAGACUGCCGGUGAUAAACCGGAGGAAGGUGGGGAUGACGUCAAGUCAUCAUGGCCCUUACGAGUAGGGCUACACACGUGCUACAAUGGCGCAUACAAAGAGAAGCGACCUCGCGAGAGCAAGCGGACCUCAUAAAGUGCGUCGUAGUCCGGAUCGGAGUCUGCAACUCGACUCCGUGAAGUCGGAAUCGCUAGUAAUCGUGGAUCAGAAUGCCACGGUGAAUACGUUCCCGGGCCUUGUACACACCGCCCGUCACACCAUGGGAGUGGGUUGCAAAAGAAGUAGGUAGCUUAACCUCCGGGAGGGCGCUUACCACUUUGUGAUUCAUGACUGGGGUGAAGUCGUAACAAGGUAAGCGUACGUGU